rnacentral:rRNA from 1 species
UACGUAGGGGCAAGCGUUGUCCGGAAUCAUUGGGCGUAAAGAGCGUGUAGGCGGCCCGGUCAGUCCGCCGUGAAGUCCAGGGCUCAACCCUGGAAUGCCGGUGGAUACUGCCGGGCUGGAGUCCGGAAGAGGCGAGUGGAAUUCCGUGGUGUAGCGGUGAAAUGCGCAGAUAUCAGGAGGAACACCAAUGGCGAAGGCAGCUCGCUGGGACGGUACUGACGCUGAGACGCGAAGCGUGGGGAGCAAACAGG